rnacentral:rRNA from 1 species
CAAGUCGAACGAUUAAAGCUCUCUUCGGAGAGUGCAUAGAGUGGCGCACGGGUGAGUAACACGUAAGUAAUCUACCUUCGAGUGGGGAAUAACAGUCGGAAACGGCUGCUAAUACCGCAUAAUGCAGCGGCAUCGCAAGAUGACAGUUGUUAAAGAUUUAUCGCUUGAAGAGGAGCUUGCGGCAGAUUAGCUAGUUGGUAAGGUAAUGGCUUACCAAGGCUACGAUCUGUAACCGGUCUAAGAGGACGGUCGGUCACACUGACACUGAAUAACGGGUCAGACUCCUACGGGAGGCAGCAGUCGGGAAUUUUGGGCAAUGGGGGAAACCCUGACCCAGCAACGCCGCGUGAAGGAUGAAGUAUUUCGGUAUGUAAACUUCGAAAGAAUAGGAAGAAUAAAUGACGGUACUAUUUAUAAGGUCCGGCUAACUACGUGCCAGCAGCCGCGGUAAUACGUAGGGACCAAGCGUUGUUCGGAUUUACUGGGCGUAAAGGGCGCGUAGGCGGUGUGGUAAGUCACUUGUGAAAUCUCCGAGCUUAACUCGGAACGGCCAAGUGAUACUGCUGUGCUAGAGUGCAGAAGGGGCAAUCGGAAUUCUUGGUGUAGCGGUGAAAUGCGUAGAUAUCAAGAGGAACACCUGAGGUGAAGACGGGUUGCUGGGCUGACACUGACGCUGAAGCGCGAAAGCCAGGGGAGCAACGGGAUUAGAUACCCCGGUAGUCCUGGCCCUAACGAUGAAUACUUGGUGUCUGGGAGUUAUUAUUGCUCCGGGUGCCGUCGCUAACGUUUUAAGUAUUCCGCCUGGGGAGUACG